CCUACGGGGCGCAGCAGUGGGGAAUAUUGCACAAUGGGGGAAACCCUGAUGCAGCGACGCCGCGUGAGCGAAGAAGUAUUUCGGUAUGUAAAGCUCUAUCAGCAGGGGAGAAAAAUGACGGUACCUGAGUAAGAAGCACCGGCUAAAUACGUGCCAGCAGCCGCGGUAAUACGUAUGGUGCAAGCGUUAUCCGGAUUUACUGGGUGUAAAGGGAGCGCAGACGGCAGGGCAAGUCUGAUGUGAAAGUCCGGGGCUCAACCCCGGGACUGCAUUGGAAACUGUCCGGCUAGAGUGCAGGAGAGGUA
rnacentral:rRNA from 1 species